AAUAUUGGACAAUGGGGGCAACCCUGAUCCAGCCAUGCCGCGUGUGUGAAGAAGGUCUUCGGUUUGUAAAGCACUUUAAGUUGGGAGGAAGGGCUUGAGGCUAAUACCCUGAAGUUUUGACGUUACCUACAUAAUAAGCACCGGCUCACUCUGUGCCAGCAGCCGCGGUAACACAGAGGGUGCAAGCGUUAAUCGGAAUUACUGGGCGUAAAGCGCGCGUAAGUUGUUCGGUAAAAGGGGUGUGAAAUCCCCGGGCUCAACCUGGGAACUGCUUUCAUAACUGCUGAGCUAGAGUACGGUAGAGGGUAGUGAAAUUUCCUGUGUAGCGGUGAAAUGCGUAAAUAUAGGAAGGAACACCAGUGGCGAAGGCGACUACCUGGACUGAUACUGACACUGAGGUGCGAAAGCGUGGGGAGCAAAC
rnacentral:rRNA from 1 species